AACAGGGAUGCCGUCCGCGGGGCGGCGGGCGACACUCCGGCGUGGAGCUGAGGGCGAACGCGGCCGGUUUCUCAAUAUGCAGUCUGCACUGGUUUAAUAUGUGACAAGGAGACAAGCAAUCCAUUGAGAAUGGCAGUGGAUAAGAUGCAGAUAAGCAAGAAAGAGAAUUAAGGAUGAAAAGACAGAGCAGUUUGUGAAAAUUCAGAUUUUGCACUUCAGAAUAAUACCAUAAAGACUCAUCACUUUAAUCAGUUAUUGAUUACAUCGUGGGGACAUUCUACAGAUUCCACUCAAUGCUACUUUUAAAAUGAGUUUUCUGGAGUCUCUUGGGGUGCUGAUCUUUACAUGGAAAUAACAGAGAGUUCCAAGAAAUGGAAGCUGCUGCUAGUAGAAGAAGAAAAGCUGAGUAUCAUCAGGGUUAAUAACUGCUACUUGAGAUCCAUGAAUGAUUACAGAGUUACACUUCUAUAUCGAACUUUCCAGUGCCAUUAGUAAUAUGCUGCCUGUCUGGGACAUCG